rnacentral:rRNA from 1 species
GAUGAACGCUGGCGGCGUGCCUAAUACAUGCAAGUCGAGCGAACGGACGAGAAGCUUGCUUCUCUGAUGUUAGCGGCGGACGGGUGAGUAACACGUGGAUAACCUACCUAUAAGACUGGGAUAACUUCGGGAAACCGGAGCUAAUACCGGAUAAUAUUUUGAACCGCAUGGUUCAAAAGUGAAAGACGGUCUUGCUGUCACUUAUAGAUGGAUCCGCGCUGCAUUAGCUAGUUGGUAAGGUAACGGCUUACCAAGGCAACGAUGCAUAGCCGACCUGAGAGGGUGAUCGGCCACACUGGAACUGAGACACGGUCCAGACUCCUACGGGAGGCAGCAGUAGGGAAUCUUCCGCAAUGGGCGAAAGCCUGACGGAGCAACGCCGCGUGAGUGAUGAAGGUCUUCGGAUCGUAAAACUCUGUUAUUAGGGAAGAACAUAUGUGUAAGUAACUGUGCACAUCUUGACGGUACCUAAUCAGAAAGCCACGGCUAACUACGUGCCAGCAGCCGCGGUAAUACGUAGGUGGCAAGCGUUAUCCGGAAUUAUUGGGCGUAAAGCGCGCGUAGGCGGUUUUUUAAGUCUGAUGUGAAAGCCCACGGCUCAACCGUGGAGGGUCAUUGGAAACUGGAAAACUUGAGUGCAGAAGAGGAAAGUGGAAUUCCAUGUGUAGCGGUGAAAUGCGCAGAGAUAUGGAGGAACACCAGUGGCGAAGGCGACUUUCUGGUCUGUAACUGACGCUGAUGUGCGAAAGCGUGGGGAUCAAACAGGAUUAGAUACCCUGGUAGUCCACGCCGUAAACGAUGAGUGCUAAGUGUUAGGGGGGUUUCCGCCCCUUAGUGCUGCAGCUAACGCAUUAAGCACUCCGCCUGGGGAGUACGACCGCAAGGUUGAAACUCAAAGGAAUUGACGGGGACCCGCACAAGCGGUGGAGCAUGUGGUUUAAUUCGAAGCAACGCGAAGAACCUUACCAAAUCUUGACAUCCUUUGACAACUCUAGAGAUAGAGCCUUCCCCUUCGGGGGACAAAGUGACAGGUGGUGCAUGGUUGUCGUCAGCUCGUGUCGUGAGAUGUUGGGUUAAGUCCCGCAACGAGCGCAACCCUUAAGCUUAGUUGCCAUCAUUAAGUUGGGCACUCUAAGUUGACUGCCGGUGACAAACCGGAGGAAGGUGGGGAUGACGUCAAAUCAUCAUGCCCCUUAUGAUUUGGGCUACACACGUGCUACAAUGGACAAUACAAAGGGCAGCGAAACCGCGAGGUCAAGCAAAUCCCAUAAAGUUGUUCUCAGUUCGGAUUGUAGUCUGCAACUCGACUACAUGAAGCUGGAAUCGCUAGUAAUCGUAGAUCAGCAUGCUACGGUGAAUACGUUCCCGGGUCU